GAUGGUGAAACUGAAGAUCUGCAUUCUUCUGUCUUUGCUGGAAGUCAAUUCCCUUUUUCACCGUGGCCCCGGCCAGGUGCCCACAAAAAGCCAUUUAACUGUGAUGUAUUUAGCCAUUUCAUUGUGGCCCUGCAAGGUGCCCAUAACUGCUCCGAAAACUACCUGUCAACAACAGGAUGGAGAAUUCCCACGAAACCAGCCCUCCAUCUAGCUGCUCAGGAGGGAGCCAACAGGGGCCUUCCUUUACACUCUCCCAGGGAGCCAGGGUAAGUUAACUCCUCUGUAAGUGUCUACUUGGGACUGUCACUGCCACCACCAACCCCAGCACUCACGCAAGGAGGCCCUUGGGUACCCAGGCUGCCCAUGACUGGUGUGUGCAUGUGCUGAACCUCAGACUCAUACCAGGAAGCCUAUGCUGCCCACACCCAAGCCACAUCCUCCACCUGAGCCUCUACCAUGAAUAAAGAUGGUGUUUUGAUCUCUCCAUCCUUUUACACUGUGCCCCUCAGGGGGUUGAGAUGCUGUUUAAACCCCAACAAUAAACACCUCAAGAGCACUGAGAACAGCAUCUACCUUGACUCCUGUAGCUCUGUGGAGGCUCAUAACCAUCCGCCUAGUCAGUUCAUCAGCAAAUGAGACCUAAGCACCUACUGUUAAACAUCACUAGACAAUGAAAGCUGAAGGCAGAGGAGGAUCUGAAUCAUGAGUCUCGUGCGAUGGUUUAACACUUCAUGGCUGGUCACACCACGAGGAGAUGGCAUGCAACUGCGCCAGCCACAGAUACCCUGACUCAAAGGACCACGUUCUGUUUCUACUCAUCAGCUGGGCAAUGGCGGGCAAGUUAGUGAGCCUCUCUGUGCCUGCACUGUGUCGUCUCUAAAGCAGAGGUUAUGACAUCGCUUACUUCCCUGGGUUAUUACGAGGAUUAAGUGUGCUAAUUGAUACAACGUACUCAAAAGAACAGCAGACACACCAGAAGCACUCAGUAACUGUCACCAACACCACUGUCACCAUCACCGCCAUACCCACCGCCUCUCCGGUAAUUAGGAUAAAAGCUACCAUUACCAAACUGCUCUGUGGCAAGAACUGCACACUGAGUGCUUUUCAGGCAAUAACGCGCUGAAGCCUCGUGAACUGAGCGUUGCCCUGCUGCUCGACCACGAAGCCCCGAGAGCCAGGCUAAGUCUAUCGGCGACGGCUCACACAAUGAGCAAACAAAAGUCAAAGUCGUGAUCUGAACUUGCAAACUCUGAGGCAGAAAUAAAUUAAUUAUAUGCAAUAAA